GUUAGGAAUAUUGGACAAUGGGCGCAAGCCUGAUCCAGCCAUGCCGCGUGAGUGAUGAAGGCCUUCGGGUUGUAAAGCUCUUUAGCCGAUGAUUAUAAUGACUGUAGUCGGAAAAUAAGCCCCGGCUAACUUCGUGCCAGCAGCCGCGGUAAUACGAAGGGGGCGAGCGUUAUUCGGAAUCACUGGGCGUAAAGCGUGCGUAGGCGGCUUUGCAAGUUGGGAGUGAAAGCCCAGGGCUCAACCCUGGAAUUGCUCUCAAAACUGCAAGGCUCGAAUUCGGGAGAGGAUAGCGGAAUUGUCAGUGUAGCAGUGAAAUGCGUAGAUAAUGACAGGAACACCAGUGGCGUAAGCGGCUAUCUGGACCGAUAUUGACGCUGAGGCACGAAAGCGUGGGGAUCAAACAGGAUUAGAUACCCGAGUAGUCC
rnacentral:rRNA from 1 species